rnacentral:lncRNA from 1 species
UAGUUUUGUAAAUAUAAGGGUUUGAUCUCAUUUGACCCUCCGUAAACCAAAUUGCUAGGUAAACGAACGCGUUGGCGAAGUCGGUUCGGCGAUCCGUCGAGUCGUUGUAAAGUUAUUAAAGAAACGGACGUUUAGACUUCGUUUCCGCCUGGAGGGCCGAGGCGACAUCGUAAAAUCAUGGAAACGGAUUUGAAGCAUCGUGGCAUAUAACCGAAGACCUUUAAUUUUCGGAUCGAGAAUUGGAGGCCGUUCGGGUGGUCGCGCGAG